rfam:[Clostridium] stercorarium subsp. stercorarium DSM 8532 chromosome, complete genome.
GUUUCAAUUCCUUAUAGGUAAACUUUAAAC